rnacentral:tRNA from 1 species
GAAAAUGUAGCUCAGUUGGAAGAGUGCACAACAAAAGUGAGGUCGGUGGUUCAAGUCCACCCAUUUUCUA